rnacentral:piRNA from 1 species
UAGAAAUUGAAACAAAGGCCAUUGGAUGU